AACGAACGCGGGCGACAUGCCUAAUACAUGCAAGUCGAACGAUCACUUCGGUGGUAGUGGCGCACGGGUGCGUAACGCGUGGGAAUCUGCCCUUGGGUUCGGAAUAACUCAGGGAAACUUGUGCUAAUACCGAAUGUGCCCUUCGGGGGAAAGAUUUAUCGCCUUUAGAGCGGCCCGCGUCCGAUUAGCUAGUUGGUGAGGUAAAGGCUCACCAAGGCGACGAUCAGUAGCUGGUCUGAGAGGAUGAUCAGCCACAUUGGGACUGAGACACGGCCCAAACUCCUAGGGGAGGCAGCAGUGGGGAAUUUUGCGAAAGGGGAGAAGGUCUGACGCAGCCAUGCCGCGUGAAUGAUGAAGGUCUUAGGAUUGUAAAAUUUUUUCCCCGGGGACGAUAAUGACGGUACCCGGAGAAGAAGCCCCGGCUAACUUCGUGCCAGCCGCCGCGGUAA
rnacentral:rRNA from 1 species